UACGUAGGGUGCGAGCGUUGUCCGGAUUUACUGGGCGUAAAGAGCGCGCAGGCGGUCGUUCAAGUCGCGUGUGAAAACCCCCGGCUCAACUGGGGAGGGUCACGCGAUACUGAUCGACUCGAAGGCAGGAGAGGGAAGUGGAAUUCCCGGUGUAGUGGUGAAAUGCGUAGAUAUCGGGAGGAACACCAGUGGCGAAGGCGACUUCCUGGCCUGUUCUUGACGCUGAGGCGCGAAAGCUAGGGGAGCAAACGGG
rnacentral:rRNA from 1 species